rnacentral:rRNA from 1 species
UACAGAGGGGGCAAGCGUUGUUCGGAAUUAUUGGGCGUAAAGAGCUCGUAGGCGGUUUGUCGCGUCUGCUGUGAAAACUGGAGGCUCAACCUCCAGCCUGCAGUGGGUACGGGCAAACUAGAGUGCGGUAGGGGAGAUUGGAAUUCCUGGUGUAGCGGUGGAAUGCGCAGAUAUCAGGAGGAACACCGAUGGCGAAGGCAGAUCUCUGGGCCGUAACUGACGCUGAGGAGCGAAAGCAUGGGGAGCGAACAGG